AUAACUUCUAUUGCUAUGUUUUCAAAUUUACUAAUCUUGGGGGACAAUAUUUCAUCUACCAUUAAUUCUGUCCAGUGUGAUUUUAAUCUCAGGAUUGAGAUCUUCCCAAAGCAUGAUGAGUAAGGUGCCAGUGUUUACCUGGAGGAAAUCUCUCCAGAUGGUGCUAAUGUACUCUGCCUCGUUCAGCAUCUUUACUGGCAACUUGGAAGUCAAAGAGAGCAGGCGUAUUAGCCCUGAGCUAACAUCUGCUGCCAACCCUCUUUUUUUUGCUGAGGAAGACUGGCCUUGAGCUAACAUCCAUGCCCAUCUUCUUCUGCUUUAUAUGUGGGACGCCUGCCACAGGAUGACUUGACAAGUGGUGCAUAGGUCCGCACCUGGGAUCCAAACCUGCAAACCCCGGGCUGCUGAAGCGGAACGUGCAAACUUAACUGCUGUGCCACCGGGCCAGUCCCUGUAUGUCUGGUAAGUUUUGACUGGAUGCCAGGUGGGGAAGUAAAUCUGGUCCUUGUUUCUCUGUCUUGGCUUCUGCAAAUGGAGGUCCAAAUGUCACACCCAUCUGGAACACUUACCACCCAAAACCAUUGAAUAUUGAAACUCUUAAGUUAGGUUGCAUACUGUUGAACUCACAUCCAAUUGAUUCCAGGCGAAGACAGCUAUUUUCUUGUCUUUACAUCCCUACAGACUUAACCAAUAGCCUGGUGCUUGGCUGACACUCAGUAAAAGCUGGCGAAUGAAUAAACUAUUUUGAGCAAACAGCUGUCCAUCUGCUUCUGGUGUUUUCUUCCAACAUUUGUUGGUAGGCUUUUGCGAUUUUCUUCUUGCCUGCCAGCAGCAAAAGAAAGCUAGGCAAGAUGGAAAUUUCUGGGACUUCUUAUUCAUGAUUGUAAUUAUCCACAAAAAUGUACCCUUUAAAAAAGCUUAUUUACAGGCAUGAGGGAACUUUUGGGGCUGAUGGCAAUGUUCUAAAACUGGGUUAUACAAGUUUAUAAAAAAUCAUUGAAUUGUACACUUAAAAAUAGGUGAAUUUUGUGAUAUAUAAAUUACACCUAAAU
rnacentral:lncRNA from 1 species